UAAAACUUUCAACAACGGAUCUCUUGGUUCUGGCAUCGAUGAAGAACGCAGCGAAAUGCGAUAAGUAAUGUGAAUUGCAGAAUUUAGUGAAUCAUCGAAUCUUUGAACGCACAUUGCGCCCCUUGGUAUUCCGAGGGGCAUGCCUGUUCGAGCGUCA
rnacentral:rRNA from 1 species